AUUGAACGCUGGCGGCAGGCUUAACACAUGCAAGUCGAGCGGAGCGAGGGUGCUUGCACCUUAGCUUAGCGGCGGACGGGUGAGUAAUGCUUAGGAAUCUGCCUAUUAGUGGGGGACAACAUUCCGAAAGGAAUGCUAAUACCGCAUACGCCCUACGGGGGAAAGCAGGGGAUCUUCGGACCUUGCGCUAAUAGAUGAGCCUAAGUCGGAUUAGCUAGUUGGUGGGGUAAAGGCCUACCAAGGCGACGAUCUGUAGCGGGUCUGAGAGGAUGAUCCGCCCCACUGGGACUGAGACACGGCCCAGACUCCUACGGGAGGCAGCAGUGGGGAAUAUUGGACAAUGGGCGGAAGCCUGAUCCAGCCAUGCCGCGUGUGUGAAGAAGGCCUUUUGGUUGUAAAGCACUUUAAGCGAGGAGGAGGCUACUUAGAUUAAUACUCUGGGAUAGUGGACGUUACUCGCAGAAUAAGCACCGGCUAACUCUGUGUCAGCCGCCGCCGUAAGAC
rnacentral:rRNA from 1 species